GACGAACGCUGGCGGCGCGCUUAACACAUGCAAGUCGAACGGAAAGGCCCUGCUUUUGUGGGGUGCUCGAGUGGCGAACGGGUGAGUAACACGUGAGUAACCUGCCAUUGACUUUGGGAUAACUUCAGGAAACUGGGGCUAAUACCGGAUAGGAGCUCCUGCUGCAUGGUGGGGGUUGGAAAGUUUCGGCGGUUGGGGAUGGACUCGCGGCUUAUCAGCUUGUUGGUGGGGUAGUGGCUUACCAAGGCUGUGACGGGUAGCCGGCCUGAGAGGGUGACCGGCCACAUUGGGACUGAGAUACGGCCCAGACUCCUACGGGAGGCAGCAGUGGGGAAUAUUGCACAAUGGGCGGAAGCCUGAUGCAGCAACGCCGCGUGCGGGAUGACGGCCUUCGGGUUGUAAACCGCUUUCGCCUGUGACGAAGCGUGAGUGACGGUAAUGGGUAAAGAAGCACCGGCUAACUACGUG
rnacentral:rRNA from 1 species